UACACUACUAAGCUGUUUCCAAGUUUGGGAGAAGAAAGAACCCAAUGUGUGGCUCUCUCAGCAGCCGGAGCCACGCUCUAGCCUCUGCUCUCCACGUGUGGGGGCUACUGACCACCGGAC
rnacentral:lncRNA from 14 species